rnacentral:lncRNA from 1 species
AUGUCGAUUCGGUGAAGGUAAUUCAUAUGGUGACUCCGAAUAAACGAGCCCAGCGAGUAGUUGAAUUCUUCCACAACAUAAGGGGGCAGGGUUGCGUGCGUGUCAUAGAUGCACAACCUGAGCGAGAAAUAGCUAAGGGACUAGAUCGGUUAUUUCAGUUGCAAAGAAAGAGAGGGCUAGAGCUAAUUUUUAUAAGCUAAUGUGUUAAGCAUAUAUGCUCAAAAUAACCUUAGCCCGGAAACAACUCCUCAAUCAAUUAUAAGGGUCGCUGAGUUUGGUUGCGUCCAUAAAAAUGGGAAGUGGAGUGGUGAGGCGGAGAAUAUUCAUUAAUGAUUAUUAACGAUUAGGCAGAGAAUAGUUUCAUUUUAGUCUGGAGAGAGACUCACAGGAACUCGCCGGAGAAAGUGUGAAAUCGAAGAAGAAGAUGAAGAAGCCAUUGUUGUUGAAUAGAAGAGUGACUAUUCCAGCUCAUAAAAGAAAAAGAAAUUAUUGAUACAGCGCGAAUCGAUCCCUGUUGCCAGAAUUGUGACCGGAGAAGAAGAAGGCACAAAUCAUAUGAAGCAACAAUGGCAAUUCAUGAUCCUCUGCUUGUUCACCUUGUUUCUAGUGGCGGAUGCUCGUGAUAGACGGUAACAACUUUUACACAAGUUUCUGGCGGGUAAUUGGAAUUAGAAGAAAUUGGUUUCAGCUGCUACUCAAGUUACCGGUCAGAGGGGACUCGUUGACGAGUAGGCAAACUCAUUAAUGAAGAAGGCCAGCCUUGUAAAAUGGGGGAAGAAAGAUUGCUCGGAUCCAAUUAUGGCACAAAGAGGAAAUAGGAUUCAGGGAUGAACUAAAACCACUGUGCUGGAUCUAAUUAAGACAUACUCGAAUCUAAACCAACUGGCUGAUGACGAACGAUCGAAACAUUCCAUGUUAGCAUUUCUGUAUAAUGACUCGUCCUCUUCACAUUGUUACCUGAUUUAUAUAUGCUUCCUUCAUCAUUGGGAGGUAUCAUUAACUUACAUGUUAACCAUAAUAGUUCACAUAAGCAGAUUCUAUAACUUGUAUCACAUCAGUUGCAAAUCAGAGAUCAUGUGUAAUCAAAAAUAACACACCCACAUACAUUCGACAAAAGUAAAGACAACUCCAUAAUUUAUAUGUCUGACUAGUCCACAGUGACACGGAAUACAAAGCUUAAAAAAUAACUAGAAAUUUCGUCCAGUUAUCUUCCUUUGGCAUCACAGGAUUACUCCAAUUUACUCUGUGCACAACAAAGAUAAUGACUAGUCCUCCCCUCUAGCCAUUUUCCACAGAUCCCUUGACGGAUGUCUUACUAUCACCAAACCUUAAAACCACACACACACAAACACAAAGUUUUUAAAAUCAAAUUCAUUCAAGUACUGAAAAAAUUCUCUCUCCCUCUCGAUCCAUACCUAACAAAUAUCCCCCACCCAGGCAAAGACCUCGUUUUGCAAGAUCAUCAAAGGUGAGCGAUGAGAAAGUCCCGCCUCCGCCCGUGGAGGCUACAAUCACAAAUCAGAGAUUUUUGUUUUACAUCCGAAUAUAAAACGAACCGAGAAUGGUAUAGAUCUGAGAACUUUACCGUUGCUGCUACCAGGCGAUGAAGAGAAAUUGCGGCGAGACCGAAUCGAUCUCAAGCCCUGUAAAAACUUUGGUUAAUCGAUGGAACACAGAAAAGGAGAAAGUAGAAAACAUAAUCAUAUAUCUCGAUCUACCUGUGCAACGAUAGAUCUCAGAUUCGGCGUCAUGACCUGAAACUAGGGUUUCACUUUUCUGUCUGAUUUCGUCAAGACGGGGCUUAAAUAAGUUUUUCUACGGUCGGUCAGGCCUUAGCCAGAGUUUAUGACCUUAUUAAUUCUAUUGUUGGGCCUUAGCCC